UGUGUAAUAGACGUAAUAGUGUUGGGUAAAGCUAUCUAGUUAUAUAUAUUUUAUAUGCGCUUUUGUCUAUUAGACAAAAGCGCAUAUAAAAUAUAUAUAACUAGAUAGCUUUACCCAACACUAUUACGUAAAUUCAAGC
rnacentral:miRNA from 1 species